rnacentral:rRNA from 1 species
UACGUAGGGUGCAAGCGUUAAUCGGAAUUACUGGGCGUAAAGCGUGCGCAGGCGGUUUGGUAAGACAGAUGUGAAAUCCCCGGGCUCAACCUGGGAAUUGCAUUUGUGACUGCCCGGCUAGAAUCUGGCAGAGGGGGGUAGAAUUCCACGUGUAGCAGUGAAAUGCGUAGAGAUGUGGAGGAAUACCGAUGGCGAAGGCAGCCCCCUGGGCCAAGAUUGACGCUCAUGCACGAAAGCGUGGGGAGCAAACAGG